CACGUAGGCACCAAGCGUUGUCCGGAUUUAUUGGGCGUAAAGAGCUCGUAGGCGGUUCGGUAAGUCGGGUGUGAAAACUCUGGGCUCAACCCAGAGCCGCCACCCGAUACUGCUGUGACUCGAGUGCGGUAGGGGAGCGGGGAAUUCCUGGUGUAGCGGUGAAAUGCGCAGAGAUCAGGAAGAACAUCGGUGGCGAAGGCGCUCUGCUGGACCAUAACUGACACUCAGGGACGAAAGCUAGGGGAGCGAAUGGG
rnacentral:rRNA from 1 species